rnacentral:lncRNA from 1 species
CGCCGAGCUUUUCACUGGUACUUAGAGAAGGUCCACGGUGAUCCCCGUUCAGUAUACUGGGGUUUUUGAGCAUAACUUUUGUUCUCAAUCUAAAUGAGCAAGUACAACUUUGCAGCCAAAGCUGAAGCCAAAUACAUGCAUUUGGAGUUAUGUUGAUUUUUUUUUCUAGUUAUAAAUUUAGAAACUGAGGAUAUCUUAUACCUUUUAAAAACGUUAUAACUUAUGCAGUUACUGGAAAACUGACUUAAAUUCACAGCUUCUAUGCAUUUUAGAAAUAAUUCUCAUGCUGUUUUUCUGUAUAUCAGGGAAUGUAAUUUCUGCCAAUUAUCUCCACAGAACAAUUAAUUUAUUUCACAGUAACUUCAGUUGUUGCCUACAAUCACUUUAGCUAUAGCCUUAAAUACGAUCUGGUAGGCUUGCCAGUAAAAUCUGGCAGCUUUUAAUUCAUUUCUGUUUUAUUUAUGGAGCCCACCACUUUCCUACAGAUUUUUAUACUGCAUAUAAGAAGAAACCAUCUCUGAAAAAUUAAUUAAAACAAAAUUCCUUGCUUGAGACAAGCCUCAGUCCCUCAAAAACAAUCUCUACCUUCCUUGGUUGGCAUGCCUUACCUUUAGGAAUUACAUAAACAACUCCUAGAGCUAAAUAUACUCUUUUUUUUUUUAAGUGACUAAUGAAUUUUGGUGUGUCAGUCUUUGGCAGUUCAUCCUGAAAUGUUAUGAGAAGGUCCUCAAUUUUUAGAAGAACUUGUGAUUUCUUUUGAUUUGCCUAACCUUGUAUAUUUGAAAAAUAAUACAUUCAGAAUUUGGUUUCAUGGUAUAAAGCUCUCAGUAAAUACGCUGGCUUUAGAUAUUCUUUUCCCUGUUUCCUUCUGCUGCCCUGCAUGACAUGUCAUUCCUUCAGCUCUGUUUGUUGGACCACACUGUGAAUUGGAACAUGGAAAUGAAAAUCUUGCAGAUAAACUCUUUGAAAUGUGAAACCACAGCACAGAAAUUGCUUGUCAUACCAGACACUGCAAGUCUUACAGUUCCAGAAUUUGAAGGAUCUUCCAGCUCUGUUUCUUCCAUUUCUGAAAGCCAGCUCAUGCACUUUCUCCCAGCAAAACCUCAGGAAGACUUUUUUACAAGGGGGAAUGGUGUCACUGAAAUGCCCAAGCGUAAAUUGUGA